UACUUCUUUUGUGGUGAGAACACAAAACCUCUCCGUAAUUUUCAAGAACAUAGUACAUUGUUAUUUACUAUAAUCACCAUGUUGUGCAAUAGAUCUGGUGAACUUAUUCCUCUAUUCCUCCUAACAGAAAUUUUGUACCCUUUGACCAACAUCUCCCUGACACCCCCCUGUUCCCCCCAACCGCCGUAACUGCCAUUCUACUCCCUACUCGUGGGUUCCAUUUUUUUAGAUUCCAUAUAUAAGUGAGAUCACAAAGUAUGUGUCUUUCUGUGCCUGGCUUAUUUCACUGAACGUAAUGUUCUCCAGGAAAAUAACUGUUAUCUGAGACCCUCGGAACCACCCCAAAAUGAAAAGACCACUAACUCAAGAAAGGUGACAGAUUCUCUGCAGCUUCUACAAGGUUCCCACAGAGGGAUCAGUACAGCCAUUAAAUAGAGCUCUUUCCUCAAAGUAAGAAUUAUUAGCUGGUCCAACUAUGAAGACACAGGAGAAUUAAAAUACAGAAAAGCUGAUUUACAUAAUCUUCUAACAUCUUCCUGGGUUCCCAGCUAUACACUGAAAAAAAGCAGUUGCUGAGUCUACCAACAGCCUUGUCAUGUGAGACAAGGUGAAUUACAUAACUGCAUCAUAAUCUACUUACUACUUCUUAUGGGUUGAAUUGUGUCCUGAAGAAAAAUAUGCUAAAGUCCUCGCACCUGGUACCUGUGAAUGUGACCUUACAUAUAUCUAUAGCACUUGGCCCUCUACCUCACACAAGGUAAGCAUUCGAAAAAUGGUUGAAAGGAAGGAGCUUAGAAAGGAAUAAAUUUCAGGUGAAAUGGUGACCAACUCAAGUUGUGAUCGAAGUUUUACAGAGCAACAGCUCUCAACCACUAAGCCAUGGCACUGGUACAGAACUACCAAUUAUGAAGUACAGACAAUUGCCAUAAGCAACAUUAAGGAUCGAGGUUUAGGAGGAAUUUUCCUUGUUUUUUAAAAUAAACAUAAAAUAGAACUAAUUCAAGGUAAUCCCUAUAAUAAUGACACCCUUACUCACUCACAUUCUGAUGCUUUCUUGAAUGUCAGUGGGAGAAGUAGCAUUAGAGUAACAUACCAGAAUUGCAUCCAACCCUGGAAUACUCACAAAAGAGCAUUUUGUGGGAAAAACAGAUAAGACCUGCUGCUAUAAAAAAAGAGAAGAAAAAGGCCGGGCGCGGUGGCUCAUGCCUGUAAUCCCAGCACUUUGGGAGGCCGAGG
rnacentral:lncRNA from 1 species